GGUUAGAUCUAAACUUUUUUCUUUUCUUCUAGAGUAUAUGUAUUUUGUGAGUUAGAAAUGAUGCAUUAGACUAACUGAAUCUCAUCUGCUCAAAGUUUGCUUGAAAUUUAUUCGUUUAGAUAUUCUGUAUAUGUUGUGACCCAAACAUGAUUUAGAAGUUAGAAAUCAUAUCCAAAGUGUUCAAGCAGUUUCUUAUGCAAUUGGUGCAUGAAUGUAUUAUAUUUGUGUUUAAGUACUGUUAAAAAUCAUGAUCUCAAGUUAUAUAAAUCUUUCUUUAAAUCCCUGACGUUGUUUGGCCCGGUGAUUUUAGUUUGUGUUUUACGAAUGAUGUAGAAUGUUGUUGUUUUUGUGGUUGAGUAUGUGACAAGAGAAUACGAUCUGAACUUUCUUUUGCUUCAGAGUUAAAAAUCCUGCCUAUAUGUUAAGGCUAAAAUGGUUCAGAUAUAUUUAAACAUCACUACAGUUGGUUAUUCAAAUCUGAAUAUAGACAAUAAGUUCUAUUAGAAGCCAUGAUUUUGGAUUGUAUGUGAUUGACUUUGAUCUCAUGUUUGAGUAGUGUAUGACGUUAGAAUAUAAUUCUUUACGCGGUAUUUCAAAAAUUUCAAACUCUGUUCACUCUUUACUUUAUUUGUCACUUAGGAAAACUGAUUUUAGUAUCUUUACUUAAACAGAGAAUGAGAUAUUUAUCUUCUAACUUAGAACGCUAUUUAGGAAGCUUUCUGUCUGCAAAAGUUAGGUUUUUAUGAUUCUAGUUAUCAGGACAUUUACAAUUGUUUGUUUUAAUACGAAUUUGCAGAUUGUAAGUUUUCUUCUCUAAAUUCUAAUAUUUGCUGAGAAUCAUAUGUUCCUCUCUAACUCAUGUUUACUUUCUUCUCUUUGGUUUGCAUGAACACCGGAGCCGAAGAGUUUCACUUUGAAACUCAACGACACCGCUACCGCAUGGAGUGUCUGCACAUCCUCAUUCUUUCUCGUCUCUCAAACGUUGAGUUACAAAGGUCAAAAGUUGUAGUUCAAGAAUAGGAGAAGCAAUUAGAAUGACUACACUGAUGGAUGAUCAUUGUUGGAUCAAAAGCCAAUCAUGCUACUGCUGCCCACUCCUCAGGUAGAAUAUUCAGAAAGGCCCUUAGAUAUGGGAAAGACAGUCUUCAACCUUAUCAGGGAAAGCUAAAUGACUGUGUUAGCGCAGCUUUGUUGUUAUUACAGCUUGGUUGUUGUUAAAAAUUGAAACUUGUUUUAGGUCAUGGAAUAAUUCUGAUACUGGCCAUAUAUGUGUUACCUCAUAACCAAGGUUUAUAGUUUUAAAUUGCUGACUGCAUUCAUGAAUCGGCCAAAUUAAGACUUUCUUCAAACAUUUUAUCGGACAUUAGAGUAAAUGAAAGGUGUACCUAAUUUUCUAUGUUUUCUUCUAACGAUGCAAUAGUCGAUGAGAUGAAUGUCCAGAGGAUAAUUAUGAUGGUGAUCACGCUGCAUCUUUGAGCUUCCAUUGCUAGGAAGUUGGUAUGGAUUUUUGGGUUUGUAGUUUUGUGUUAUUGAACUCUUUCAUGCUAGAAAUGAACGAAAAUUGCCUAGUAUUGGCCGGAAACAACAUA